UACGAAGGGGACUAGCGUUGUUCGGAAUUACUGGGCGUAAAGCGCACGUAGGCGGAUUGCUAAGUCAGGGGUGAAAUCCCGGGGCUCAACCUCGGAACUGCCUUUGAUACUGACAAUCUCGAGUCCGAUAGAGGUGGGUGGAAUUCCUAGUGUAGAGGUGAAAUUCGUAGAUAUUAGGAAGAACACCGGUGGCGAAGGCGGCCCACUGGAUCGGUACUGACGCUGAGGUGCGAAAGCGUGGGGAGCGAACAGG
rnacentral:rRNA from 1 species